rnacentral:rRNA from 1 species
GAUGAACGCGGCGGCGUGCCUAAUACAUGCAAGUCGAGCGAGAAGCUUGGAAAUGACGCUUCGGUUGAUUUUCCAAGCGGACAGCGGCGGACGGGUGAGUAACGCGUAGGCAACCUGCCCCUGACAGAGGGAUAGCCAUUGGAAACGAUGAUUAAAACCUCAUGACACCGUAGUAGCACAUGCUACAUCGGUCAAAGAUUUAUCGGUCAGGGAUGGGCCUGCGUCUGAUUAACUGGUUGGUGAGGUAACGGCUCACCAAGGUGACGAUCAGUAGCCGACCUGAGAGGGUGAUCGGCCACAUUGGAACUGAGACACGGUCCAAACUUCUACGGAAGGCAGCAGUAGGGAAUCUUGCACAAUGGGCGAAAGCCCUGAUGCAGCAAACGCCGCGUGAAGGAUGAAGGCCUUUCGGGUUGUAAAAUUU